UACGUAGGUGGCGAGCGUUGUCCGGAAUUACUGGGUGUAAAGGGCGUGUAGGCGGGAUUGUAAGUCAGAUGUGAAAUUCUUGAGCUCAACUCAAGCGCUGCAUCUGAAACUAUGAUUCUUGAGUGCUGGAGAGGAAAGCGGUAUUCCUAGUGUAGCGGUGAAAUGCGUAGAUAUUAGGAGGAACACCAGUGGCGAAGGCGGCUUUCUGGACAGUAACUGACGCUGAGGCGCGAAAGCGUGGGGAGCAAACAGG
rnacentral:rRNA from 1 species